UGGGGAAUAUUGCACAAUGGAGGGAACUCUGAUGCAGCAACGCCGCGUGCGGGAUGACGGCCUUCGGGUUGUAAACCGCUUUUAGCCAUGACGAAGCUUUCGUGACGGUAGUGGUAGAAGAAGCACCGGCUAACUACGUGCCAGCAGCCGCGGCGAUACGUAGGGUGCGAGCGUUGUCCGGAAUUAUUGGGCGUAAAGAGCUUGUAGGCGGUUUGUCGCGUCGAUAGUGUAAACACGCAGCUUAACUGUGUGCCUGCUGUCGAUACGGGCUGACUAGAGGAGGGUAGAGGAGGAUGGAAUUCCCGGUGGAGCGGUGGAAUGCGCAGAUAUCGGGAGGAACACCAGUGGCGAAGGCGGUUCUCUGGACCUUUCCUGACGCUGAGAAGCGAAAGCGUGGGUAGCAAACAGG
rnacentral:rRNA from 1 species